CAGCGGCCGCGCGGCCGACGACGUGACCACCGCUUGUGCGACGUGUGCGCGCGCGCGCCGUCGGUCCGCCUCGGAGGAGCCACUUAUAUCUGUGAGUUUAUAUAUAUGGGUGUGUGUGUGUGUGUGUGUGUGUGUGUGUGUGUGGUGUGUGUGUGUGUGUGUGUGUGUGUGUGUAAUGAUAUUAUUCGGUUUCUGUCGAUGAGAGAAACGGGAAAAAUCAAGAGGGGCGCGAGCCGGGAAAACGAGGAGAAAAACCGACGCCGUCGUCGACGAGACGGACUGUCAUCGUCCGGGGACGCGCGUGUGCGCUUUUACGCUCGCCGCAAAAACCUUUGAUCGCGAUCGUCUAUGUAUAUAUAUAUAAUGCGUAGCGGAACUCGUAUAUAUAUAUAUGUAGUGUGCAGAGUUCCGGUGUAUAUAUACAUAUACAAGUUUCGACUCUGAUCGUUGUAUGGUCUUGUUAGCACCGUUAUGAACAUUUUACCCGAUUCUCAUCACCGAAAUCUGAAUGCUUCUUAACGUCGUAAGGAUUUAUUACUCUACAAUAGCCAGCGGAUUUGAUUGACUUACGAUGAGACGCAUAAAAAGACUACGUCGAAGUCAUUACCAUAAGCCUGGAAGUGGUUCGGAGGUAGAGAGUACUGAAACAAUUAUAUUUUAAUGCACAGGAAGUUUACAAUUGUAAUUUUGUUUUGCGUAAGUAAAAAACAAAACAAAAAUAAAACUUUUAAAUAUAACGUUGACUUUUGAAUAAAUUAUAUUUUAUUAUCUCAAAAUCAAAUUGUGCGUUGCUUUAUUGUCGAUAAUCUAAAAAGGUUUAUUAUCUCUGUAUACGAUUCAAUUUGUUUUUUUACCAUUGAUUAUUAAUUUUAUUUAGUACUAUAUAAUAUUAUUAAAUCUAUAAUCAACUUUUUUACGUGCAGCGCCGUGAACUAAAAUCGACGUAUGCAUGCCCAUUGAAUUGCCUAAUCAGUGUUCUAUAAGGUGUAAAGAUGUUUAAGGAUUUAUACUGAAAAAAAAUUCGUAAUCCAAUUGCGUCAAAUUGUCUAAUGGUUUUUAGUGUUGGGUUUCUACUGCACUAAAAAAUAAUAAUAACAAAAAAAUUGUACACAUAAUUACAGUGAAAACAAUCAUCGAUCCAAAGGCUGCCUUUUGACCGUUAAGCGUUGAUAUUUUUUGUUGGCAUUGAUCGACAGGUCUAAUUUGGGAUCGGUGUCGACACGUCGCGUAUCGAAGAAUUUUUUUCUGUUUGUUGCUAGUUCUAUACGAUCGCUUCCUCAUAGCAUGUAAUUAAAUAGUUUGAUCAAAUAAAAUAAAAAAGUUUCGAAACAGACGAUAACAGACCUACGAGUACCUACGUAUUAUACAAGGUCAUAAAAACCAAUCGAUCUUUAGGUACCAUUUUUGAAUCAAUUUUUCUUUAAAUAAACACUUCUAUUACAUUGCAUAUUCAACAAAUCAUUAUUUUUGUUUUAAUUUUUAAACUUAUUUAUACUGUCCAAAAUUGUUGCGUUUUUCAAAUUGCUUUGUUUCACAGUCUUCCAAUACCAUUCAUUAUAGAAUUAUAGAAUUAUUCUGCAAUCAACGAUAGUGUCUUGUAGUAUUAAUACCAUCACAUUAAUAAUAAUCAAUGUUAAUAAAUCUUAUAUCAACUGACAUAAAAUAAAUAAUGUAUUAUGCAUU